AAGAAAAAUAGCAUACAACCACAUUUUUUUUCCUGGCGUUUUUUAAAAACGUUGUGAAAUUUUUUAUGAUUUUUCACCUUCUCAGCCAAUUUAAUUAUUUUAUCUCGUUUUGCACGCCGUUAUUAGAAAACUGUGAAAUAACGUUUAUUUGUGAUUGAAAAGGCAGGUUUCUGAUCAAAAGAAGAGAACAGAGGCGUGACUUUUGAGAGAGAGGGAGGGAGGAAGGGAGGGAGGGAGAGAGAGAGAGGGGCAAAGAGAGAAAUCAGGCCCUUGGAUCUUCGAUCUCCAUCGAUUCUUUGGUUGUAUGAUCUGGAAAUUCUUGUUCUGUACUUGAUUUGAGUGUAUCUCUGUAAUAUCGUUUGAAUCCCUCUUAUCUAAGUCGAUCUAGGGCUCAAGGUUAGAAUUUUCUGAUAUGGAUUUGCUACAUUCACAUAAGAUCUGUAAAAUUUCAUGGCUUAAACUAACGAUUUAUAGUUGAUUUCUAGUUUCUUUUAUUUUGUUUUGUAUUUUCUCUUUCUAAAUCUAUUUAUCUAGGGUUUUGAGUGCCGUGUUAAUGUCUCUGAUCAUGUACAGGAUAAGCAAGCAGCGUUGGAUCUGGAUCGUUAGCAACAGUGAGUAGAAGCAAGCUCAACGAUGUAGAGAUGUAGAUCUUAUUCUCAGAUCUGUUCUCUAUUCGAUCAGAUUUGCUCUCUCUAUCUCUCUGAUCUGCUAUUAUGGUAAUAUCAAAUCUGCUCUCUCAAUCUCUCCGAUCGAAUUUCAUGUAUUCUCUUCAUUGCUCUAUGAGAUUUAGACCUUUCUCUCUGGUUUUUGAUCAUUAUCUUUGUCACUCUAUCACAUUUUCCUUAUAAAAAAUGUCAAAAACAGUUUCUAAAAUUGGUGUUGGUAACUAGUUCGUUGAUACUCUUCUAUGCGUAUUGAUGAUGACCGAUUUGUAGUUGAGGGUAGUAUUUCCUGGUGAGUAGUUCGUUGAUUGAUUCUUAUCCUAUUGACAUGAAUUUUUUUAUGGAUUUUUUUGUUGGAAUAGCUUGUUGAUAUUGUGAUUCUUAUUGUACCAUUUCCCUUGCAUGUCAAAUGUUUGAUAAAAUGUGUCAAUGGAAAAUUUUUGUUAUUUUUUUUUUACCUUUCAAUUUUUAGCCAAACAUCAAAAAAUAAAAAUGAUGAUGGAACUUUACUGUAAAAUAAACUUUCGUCAGUGUAGUAUUUUCUGCCAAUCUGAAAGGAUAUUAUCUCUGUCUCUAUCGUUAUGAUGGCCCAUGCCAAUGAGGUUCCAAAAAAAAAAAACUAGAGAAACUAAUAUUAAUCUUGCCUAACACAAAAGAAAACUCUAAACUUCAAAUGGUUUUGUAAUAAGAACUACAUAAUGCCAAAAUAUUUAUAAUCCCAACAUACAUUUUAAAUAUCCCAAAUCACUUUUACAUAUUUUUAUUCAUUCUUUACAAAUUUAAAUGCACUUUAUACAUGUUUUCCAACGCUGUUUUUAGCAUUUCCCUUGGAAAAAUAUUAUGGCACUGAUAUUAUGACAGUCUUGUUAGAAUAAAUCAAUUGAUGUCUUCUUGUAUUGGUCAAUCCCAAAACACAUAGUGGUUGUAGAUUAUUAGACUGAUUGCACUUGCAUUAGUUUGAUUUUUCGUAUUCCCUUUUUUCUCAUUUGCUCAUUCUCUUGUUUGUUAAAGAACUACACCUGUGUUGUAUUUGGUGCCUUAUAUUUCACAUAGCUGUUGUCAAGACUUGGAGAAAGGAAGGUGAUCGCUGGCAUAGAUUAAUAUUUUAAGGUUCAAAUCUACAGCGGAUAAUUAAUGAUAGUCGUGCUGAUGUUGAUUCUAAUUCAUCUGAUUUUUGGGUGAUGGUGGCAACUCUAAAGGUUCAUAAUAAUUUGGCGUCAGUUACCCAAGUUAUUGAUCCAAAGCUUCAUCAGCAUUUAGAAACCCUAGGUGGAGGUGACUAUCUAUUUGCUUUCCGAAUGCUUAUGGUUUUGUUUCGUCGCGAAUUCUCUUUCGGCGAUUCAUUGUACCUUUGGGAGGUAUGGAAUUAUCAUUUUGGUGAAGAUAAUGGAUGACUUGAUGAAGCUGAAGAGAGCAGUGGAUGAAGUUAUUUUCAGAGAAUUUGGAGAGAACACUUAAUAUUAUUAUUAUUAUUAUUAUUAUUAUUUGUAUUAUCAUAGUGUUUUAAGGGUUUUUUUUAUUUUUUUAUUUUUAUGAAAAAUUGAAAAAUGAAUGCUCAUUCACAUUAAUGUUAUAUAUUUUAAGAAUGGUGAUGGAUAAUAUAGGUUUGGUUUGAGUAA